UUAACCCUGAGAUGAGGGAAACUCUGGGUUUUCUGUUUCAGAAAGUAAGGUAACUUUACCUCAGAGUCAGUUACUAUGGUAACUGAGCCUGUGAACCUAACCUGGUCGGGAGCAGAUUUUCUUCAAGAAACCUCGAGUUUCUCAGUCUCCUCCUUCUGACACAGCGCUCUUUCAUUUCCUCAUUCAUUCAUUCAGUCUGUAACAGGCGCAUUUUAGUGCAGUUUAUCUGCAUGGAUAAAAGUGUUGUUUUAUUAACCAUGUUAGGCAGACUAUAAAACGUUUUAUCUUCAAAACUUGGCAUUUCCUUGUAUCGACAAUCUCUUUGAUGAAGCUGUAUUACUUCGUAGGGAGUUAAACAUACAUCGGGAGAUGAUAAUGAGACCCCGACUAGAUGUAUUUUAAUUUCCAGAUAACAAGGCUAUAUUUGAGUGGUAUUAUUUUUCUUCCCAGUCUAUAGCCUACAUAACUUUUCCGUCCUCAUAUCACUGAUGUCACCCAUCAUGGACAUGCUCUACAUCCCAGCACAUUCUUUGUAUAACAUGUUUUUUGCAAAUGGCAGUUUUCCUUACAAUGUUGUUGAUGCAGAGCAUAUUAGUAAAGCCACUGUAGCAAAGCGCCAUCAGAAGAAUGUGACUCGGUCUGAAACGUGUUUUAAACGUUUUUGUAGUGUUUCCUGGACACAAACCAGUAAGAGACAUUA